rnacentral:rRNA from 1 species
GAUUAACGCUGGCGGCGUGCAUGAGACAUGCAAGUCGAACGGACGAUCAGGGCUUGCUCUGAUCGUUAGUGGCGGACGGCUGAGUAACGCGUAGGUGACCUGCCCCGAAGUGGGGGAUAACUGCCCGAAAGGGUGGCUAAUACCGCAUGUGGUGGUUCGUUCGAUCGAACCAUCAAAGCAGUGAUGCGCUUCGGGAGGGGCCUGCGUCCGAUUAGCUCGUUGGUGGGGUAACGGCUCACCAAGGCGACGAUCGGUAGGUGGUCUGAGAGG